AGUGAACGCUGGCGGUAGGCCUAACACAUGCAAGUCGAACGGCAGCACAGUAAGAGCUUGCUCUUACGGUGGCGAGUGGCGGACGGGUGAGGAAUACAUCGGAAUCUACUUUUUCGUGGGGGAUAACGUAGGGAAACUUACGCUAAUACCGCAUACGACCUACGGGUGAAAGCAGGGGAUCCUCGGACCUUGCGCGAUUGAAUGAGCCGAUGUCGGAUUAGCUAGUUGGCGGGGUAAAGGCCCACCAAGGCGACGAUCCGUAGCUGGUCUGAGAGGAUGAUCAGCCACACUGGAACUGAGACACGGUCCAGACUCCUACGGGAGGCAGCAGUGGGGAAUAUUGGACAAUGGGCGCAAGCCUGAUCCAGCCAUACCGCGUGGGUGAAGAAGGCCUUCGGGUUGUAAAGCCCUUUUGUUGGGAAAGAAAAGCAGCAGGUUAAUACCCCGCUGUUCUGACGGUACCCAAAGAAUAAGCACCGGCUAACUUCGUG
rnacentral:rRNA from 1 species